GAUGAACGCUGGCGGCGUGCUUAACACAUGCAAGUCGAACGAUGAAGCUCAGCUUGCUGGGUGGAUUAGUGGCGAACGGGUGAGUAACACGUGAGUAACCUGCCCUUAACUCUGGGAUAAGCCUGGGAAACUAGGUCUAAUACCGGAUAGGAGCGCCUACCGCAUGGUGGGUGUUGGAAAGAUUUAUCGGUUUUGGAUGGACUCGCGGCCUAUCAGCUUGUUGGUGAGGUAAUGGCUCACCAAGGCGACGACGGGUAGCCGGCCUGAGAGGGUGACCGGCCACACUGGGACUGAGACACGGCCCAGACUCCUACGGGAGGCAGCAGUGGGGAAUAUUGCACAAUGGGCGAAAGCCUGAUGCAGCGACGCCGCGUGAGGGAUGACGGCCUUCGGGUUGUAAACCUCUUCCAGUAGGGAAGAAGCGAAAGUGACGGUACCUGCAGAAGAAGCACCGGCUAACUACGUG
rnacentral:rRNA from 1 species